CAAAGCAACAGCUUUAUCUUUGUAGAGCUUUUGCUGAGCAACAGAACCUGAUGGACUGUCAUUAACUCAAGAAUCUAAAACCACUGGAAAUUGUGAUGAGGACCUUUUUCUUGUGCUACAAUGA